AAAAUAAAAUUAUAAAAAAGAAAAAGAAAAAAAAGAAGUCAUAAUCAUUCGCCCUCCCUCCAGCGCAUGAGAGUUCCUUUUCAUUUGCGUUGCACUCCUCCCGCAGUACUGAGAAGCCAUUUUCCAAAUGAAGGUGAAUGUUAGGAACAUUUAGAAAUUUGCUAGCACUAUUGAUUCGCCCAUCGCUCAAAGGAACCUCCUAGUGGAGAUCGCCUCUGACUUGGAAUUAUUCAAAGAGAUUGGUUUUAAUUUGUAUUGAACUGGAAUUUAUUUUUGGAAUUGAUUGAGAGUGCAGUGUGUUCCUCAAGUAGUGAAAGAAUGGUUAAAUGCACCUAAAGUUAUUGUAUUGCCAGGCUUUGGUAGAUUUGAAAUUGGUUUUUAUCCGCCCCGAAAUUAGUCUUGAGAAAUUUCCUUGGAGCCUUCAGUCAAAUCGCUCUUGGACAUUUUUUUGUAAAAAACCCUAGAAUUUCCAUCAAUCAGGGAAGAAACUUUCAAACACUUGCAGGAAUCAGUGUAACUCCUUCGAG